rnacentral:lncRNA from 1 species
GUGGGGUUAUUAGGGAGGCUCCUGCAAUUGGCGGAGCGGCGGGAGGCGGUGGACGUGAGCCGCGAGCUGAUCAAGAUGACCAACAACACCGUCGCGCGCAUGGCCACGGGGCGGACCUGCGCGCCGGCGGAGGGGGAGAGCGGAGAGGCCGUCGACCCGGAGGAGUCGAUGAAGCUGGUGAAGCAGGUGGCGGAGCUGAUAGGGUCCUUCAACCUGAGCGACCACAUCUGGCUGCUCAGAGGGUUUGACCUCCAGGGCUGCAACCGCCGCAUCGAGGACGUCCUCCACCGGUUCGACACCAUGAUGGAGAGGAUUAUCAAGCAGAAGGAGGCGACGCGGGGGGCGAAGAGGGACGGCGGCGCCGCCUUGGAUCUGCUGGACAUCCUUCUCAACGCGUCGGAGGACAAGGACGCCGACGUCAAGCUCACCCGGGAGAAUAUCAAGGGAAUUAUUCUGGUAAACGCCCCCUCGCUGUGUCGCGUAGUAUUUAAAACGUUUUACUACUACCGUAGAACAGUAAAGCUAAUCUUUAUCUUCUUCCUCUUCUUCUGUGUAGGACAUCUUGACGGCGGGAUCGGACUCGUCGGCGGUGACGUUGGAGUGGGCGCUGACGGAGCUCAUCAACCACCCGGAGAUGCUUCAGAAAGCUCGGGAGGAGGUGGACAGGGUGGUCGGCCGGGAAAGGCUGGUGGAGGAAGCUGACAUCUCCGGCCUCCCCUACGUGCAGGCGGUGAUCAAGGAGACCCUCCGUCUCCACCCGGCGGCAGCCUUCGUCUCCCGAGAGUCCCGCAAGGACACCACCGUCUACGGCUAUCACAUCCCCGCGGGGACCAGUCUCUUCGUCAACAUCUGGUCCCUGGGGAAGGAUCCCAGCCAGUGGGUCGACCCGCUGGAGUUCCGCCCGGAGAGGUUCUUCUCCGGCGCCGACGAUGGCCAGCUGCUGCUGCAGCAGCAGCUCCGCUCUCUGCCGUUCGGCGGCGGGCGGCGGAUGUGCCCGGGGGCUGGGCUGGCGCAGCAGGUGGUGCAGACCGCGCUGGCGGCGCUGCUGCAGUGCUUCGACUGGCAACACAUCGGCAGGCAGGAUCUGGAGGAGGGGGUUGGGCUUGUGGUGCCCAGGAAGAAUCCCCUCGUCUGCGUCCCCGUGGCCCGGUCCAAGCCGCUUCCGGUCAACCGUACGAAAUUCUAUCCCUGAUCUGUCUAAUUUUCCGCGAGUAGGGGCCCUUCUGUGUCAACCCUAGUCAAAAUAAUGUCGCCAUUUCGAAAACCUCAUCCAUUCCGUCAUCUCGCGAGCGGGGUACUUUUAAUUGAAAACGAUCAAAAUUAAUAAUGUUGAACUCGUUGAAUAUGGUUUUCUGGCUCCCAGUAGAUAUACGAGAGUAAGAACAAAUUAAAAGUUGGCCCAAUAGAGAUGACUUUUUAAAAAGUAUAAACUCUCUGAAAAAUUCUUAUUAUAUAUUUCUAUACAAUUUUCUUAAAAUAUUUGAAAAAUUAUUAUUAUAUAUUUCUAUGUAACAUUUAAUACACAAAAGUAUUAAAUCAAGGAAUAUUAAACAAGUAUUUAGAUAUCAUCUUUAACUUGUUUGAAGUUGCAACACUUUUUAAUCAUCUGGUAACAUUUUUUAUGAGAAGAGAGUAACAAAAAUAAAGUCUCGAGCAGCAUCAUAUUCACCAACAUUAUAGACUAAUUGUCAGUCUACAUUAUCUUCUAAAUAUCUAUUCAUAGUAAAACCUAUCUAUUUAUUAUGAGAUGAACUUGUGAUUAAAAUAUUAUUUAACCAACAUACGAGCUGAAACCUAUACUUAGUUGUAGGCAUCUUAGAGUAAUGGUUAUAUAAGAGAAUUUUUUACAGAAAUUCUAAGAAAUUGAGCCUAAUAGGCAGAAGUUUACAAUUAGAUGAUCAAAUAUUUGCUCCGAGAGAAUGGGCAUGGGUAGUGUAAUGAACCACUAUAAAAUCUCUUUCUUACAACAUUGAUCUUGAAGGACCUUAGGACUAUAGAAACUAAGGAGAAGAUCAAUUAAUUUAAAGAGUUCUUGUUCUAAUGUCAAUGAGGAAUAAAUCAAUUUAAUCCACCCUCUUCUUGUUCUAAGUGUGGCAUAAAACCCAAUAAGUGAUAUUUAGAGCUUAUCUUUUUUAUAUGAGUGAUUUAUUUUAGUAGAUCUUAUGGCCAACACAUUGAGAUGUGAUUUAAAAGGGAACUUUGUCUAUUGGCCACAACUAUUUAAUGAAUUAAAUUAUAUUUUUCAGGAGCAAAAUAGAAAUCAUUGUACAAGGUCUAAACUAUCAGCUAUGGAAAAUCAAUAUGAAUGAAUCUUUGGUAGUUAAUAAGGAUGUAUUAGUAUAAUGAUGUAGAAAAACUCUAUGAACAUCCUAGUACCUUAAUAAAGGAGAAAGUUAAUCAUUAAAAAAUUUAAAAAAUAAAAUUAUAGAGUUAAAGAAACAAGUAAAAUCAUAUUUGAACAACUAAAUACCAAUAAGAAAUAUGAUAGUAUCUCAAUUUUAUAAGCAAUGUGAGGUAAAAAUAAUGUAAUGUUGCAUGACUUUCGUGAAAAUAAGUUAGAAUCAAUGAAAAAUAUAUUUCUUAACUUUUAUUAUUUUAUGUAAAAUUUAGUUAUUUUUCGAGAGUUAUUUCAACUAAAACACAUUGUCUAUUUAUAGUGGUCCGUCAACUACACUUGACAAUAUGGACGUAUGUCUAUUGAUUUGUGAUGCAUGAAUUAUUUAGCUCAUGGUUUCACAUCCCAAGACAACUUGGACUCCUUGCUCUAAAAGGUCACAAUUAAAAAGUGGUCAAAGAUAAAAUUUAAAAUAUCAAGAGAUUUCCUAAUGAUACUUAUAAGUACAGCUUCAUGUAAUAUCUAAGUUGAACCACAAGGAAUUGUCUAAACUAAUGGGAAAUAUAAAUUGACUACAAGUGAACUUUGAUGAAAUUUAAGGUGAGAAGAGAGUAGAUGAUGACUCUCAAUAUUUAAAGGAUAUAAUCCUUAAUAUUUUUGUGCUUUAUACCUUAUUUUUAAUUAAAAUGCUUGCAAAAUACUUUAGAUUAGAAAAGUUGGAUUUAAAAUGAUUUAUAUGAUUUUAAUGUUAAUUUAUAAGAAUUAGAUGAAGAAAUUAAUUAUUUAAUAUGAUGAAAUACUUCCUCACAUGUUUUUAUUUUUUACAUUAUGUUUAUAAAUUUAUUCUGAUUUUAUAGAAACAUUAAUGAAAUUUCAGAAACAUCAUUAAAUUCAGAAAAUCAGUGAAAAUCCAGAAGAAUCGGCAAAAAUCAUGCCGGAUGAUCGAUUGAUUCUCAAAGAGAAAUAAGCUAAGCAAAUUGACAAUUAUAAAUUCAAAAUCAUGUUAUAAUUCAAUGCAUUUCAUUUUUAUAGUUUAUAAUCGAUUAAACUAAUUAAAGAUCAAAUCUUUUUAGGGGUUUCAUGCUAAUGAGAGAUGCAUUGAUUGUGGCAAGAAAUACAAUAAAUUAGUAAAGCAAAUUGGCAAAAUAUGUGCAUAGGAAGAUUGAAAAGGUGUUUCCAGAAAAGAAGAAGGUAUAUUUGAUUAUUCUAUCUCCCUCUAAAUCGAAACCCCUCUUGUUUGGCUACUAUAGACGUUAGAUUUUGCCCAAUCGAUCCAUCUAAUACAAACGAUAGAUUUCAUCCAAAAUUUCCCCUCAUUAAGCUGUUAUAGAGGCUGAAAUUCUUCUAGGCAUCUUCCUGAUUCUUCCCCCGAUACAAACAGUGAAGAAUUUCUUCCAAUGAUCCUUCUCUAGAUGUUGUGGCACACUUGGAGUUGAAUCACCUUCACUAUUCAAUUUCAAAAAGUGAUAGUUGCUAGUAUUGUCAACCAUAGAGAAAGUGUGGGAUACCAAUCAAUGCACCGGUGUACAUAAAUUGAUUGUAUUUGGGUGGAAAUCUAAUUGACAACUACGUCGGCCAAUUCUUCUGUAAACUUUAAUUUAUGUUUAUUUUGAUUUUUUUUAGAUUCCAAUAAUACAUCUUUAAUGUAAAUUCUUUAUUUUAAUUAUUUCAACUUCGAUUUAAUCCAUUAUGAGUCGAUGUAUUUUUGGUGACUAUGAAUUUGGGGUUGUUCUUUGUGGGCUAAUGUUAGCUAACGUUAAUAAUACCUAAAUUCACAUUUUUUAGCUUUUUUUUAUAUAAAUUUUACCAAUAAUUAAUUCUAAAAAAAGAAUCUAUCAAUUGAAAAUAAUUAAUAAUUAAUAAUAUUUUAUCUUCCCUAUGAUCGAUGAUAAUAUCUCAUUGUUUAGAUGUAAUGUGAGUCAAAAUAAUAAAAUAUUGGAUGAAUUUCAUGAAAAUAAAUUAUAAUUAUUGAAGAAAAUGGUUUAAAGUGUUUUCAUAUUUUUUCGUGAAAUCUUAAUUUGGGUUAUAUAACAUUCAUCCCGCAUCAUAAACUUAUUAAGUUAUGGUACUAUCCUCUUCAAUAGAUUUUUAAACAUAGUCUAAGUCAACACCUUCAUUUUGAAAACAAUCUAUAGUAAAAUUUUUCAUUACUUUUUGUUACUAAACUUGUGAUUAAAGAUUGAUCCAAUUAUAUAAGAGAACUAUAAACUUUCUACUUAGUUGUUGUUUUGUAGUAUAGUUGAUAUGGAAGCCUAUUUCAAGGUGAAAUUUAUUGUGAGUUAAGUUCAGUAGUUAAUAUUUGUGAUUGAUGGAUACUAAAACUUAUAAAUUCCAAAAAUAAAGAUUUUAUUUAAGAGUAAACUUAUACAUAGGGCCAAACUAUUUCAAAAUAUCUUGCUAUAAUUAUAUAGCUAGUUGAAAUUAUUAAAUUUUUUUAGGCCACACUUACAUCAAGAAGUGGGGUUAAAUUAAUAAACUUUGAUAUUUUAUUGAGGUUGACUUCUCAUUACUCUUCCUAACAUUUUUCUCAUAUCCUAAUGUUUUGAUUUGUAAUGACCUAAAAAUAAAGCCCAUUAUGAUCUUUAAAUUAGUUUAUUUCCCUAUCUAUAAUGGCUCUCCAAGAAUAAUCAUUAUUCUUGAGUUCUACUAAGAUUGAACAUUUUUUAUCACAAUAGUUAAUUACUUGGUUCAACUCUCACAAAAUUUUACCUUGGAAUUAUCUUAUAUAUUUAUGGUUCUAAGAGGCCAAUAGUUGAAUAGCAAGUUAACUCUCUUGAGUGACUAAAUAAAAAAUUAAUCACAAGUUUUUCCCACAUAUAAUAUGAAAUAUUUUAUUAAAAAAUAUGCACCUAGAGUAUAUCUAAAGAUGAGGUGAAGAGAAUGAAGUUCGAGACCUGAUUUUUAUUGCCAUCCUCUUUGCAAGAUGUUAUCUAAUGAUGGAAAACUCUACAACUUAGAACUUGUUGAAGAUGGUUGACAAAUGCUUGAAUAAUAGUCCUCAACUCAAUACUUGCUCAUCAUUUGGCCAGCUAACAAAGUUUUCAAUAACUUUUUGAACCAACACAAAACUUUUUUUUUUCUCUCUAUAUUUGUGAUAAUUACAACUUAUGGCCUUCCAACCACUAAUAUUUUAUAAAAAACUUUUCAUUGCCCAACUCAAACUGAAUGCAAUGUUGUCAAAUUGAUGGUUGAUGUUGUAGAUAAUAUGAAGCCAAUAUGUGAAGUGAAAAGUCAAAAUUAUGAGUAUCGUUUACGAUGUCCACUAAAUUGUAGCUAGGGAUCAUUAACUUUCUUUGGUUAUUCAUUAGAUUCUUGGAGAGGCUUUCAAACAAUAUAUAAGUGACAAAUAAGCAUAGAGAAAUGUUCAUUUGCAGAGAUGCAGGAUGCUUAUCAAAAGAGGGGAAUUGCAUGUAAGAAAAGUGAAAAUCUUCAUGGACUAACUUUCGACAAUUGAAGUUUUGUGCAUUUCAAAUAGUGUUAAAUUGAUACCACUUUAAGAGAUGCCAUUUUGGCUUCCCUCUAGCCAAAACUAUUACAUCAUUUACAUGUGUCUUUAAUCUCAUUCGUUUUCUAAAAAAGCACAAGUUGUACUCUUCUUGGUAGAAAAUGAUGCCCUAUUAUAGCCAUGGACUUGGGGAGGUGAGUGAGUCAUGUCCUCUCACUUUUUUACAUAAAUGAGGAUAUCCUGACUAUAAUUUGAAUUUCUCUAACAAACAUUCUAUGUUCUUGAAAUGGAUCAUAUAGAAUAUUUUACAUUUUCGAUGAUCAUCUCUAUUUUAUGUAUUUGGGGAAUCCUCCUUAAUAGACGAAAAUAUUCAUAUUAUGUCAAUGCCAAAUUGAAGUAAUUUUGUUAGUAGUUAAUUCAAACUUUUUGGUAUUUUUGGUUUCGUUGUAUGAUACGAUAGGUCAAUCAUUUGCUUCAGUACUUCCAAUAAUGACAGUUGCAGAAUCUACUAUUGGAUUAGCCAUUUUUGUUACUAUUUUUCGAGUCCCACGAACUAUUGUCAUAAAAUUUAUAAAUUGCAUUCAAGGUUAAACAUAACGAUAUGAUAGUUACCAAAUACAAAACCCUUCCAUUCUUUUCAUUUUUUUCUCUAAAAAUAAAAGGGAUGAAAUAGAUUUUUGUUCAGAGCCCAUGUUCAAAAUUCAAUCGUCCUUUUCUCGCUCAUCAUAGACAUUCUUGGUGUCCUUUAUGGUGGGCCAAACAUCCUAACCCCACCAUGUGUAAAGACACUGCCACCAUAGGAGGAGAGGACCAGCAUAGGUCUCAUGACAUGUCUGUGGGUGGUAGACGAAUCUGUGGGUGGCAAGUGACCUAUGUGACCAGUAGACGAUGUCUGUGGGUGGGAGAUGAGGUCCACAAUAGCAAGAGAUGUCAUGGCGGUAGGAGACAUCUGCGGGCACCGUGAAUGUCGCCUGCUGCCCGCAGACGUUGCCUGCCACCUGUAGAGGUCGCCUGCUGGCCUCAAACGUCACUUGCCACCCAUGGACUCGCCUACCGCCUGCAGACAUCACCUACCACCCACGAAUGUCACCUACCCUGACUCCUCAUGGUCAAUGCUCUCUGCGAGGUUCCCCUUUGGGUCAUCUACAGCCGGCAUACUCACGCGUCCACUGCCCACACGCGGAGCAAUUCUCCCACCACCCAUCUGGCCAUGAAGUGUCAUGAUCCCUCCAUCAAAAGGGCAUGCAAAAUCAUCAGCAAUUUAGGUUUCAAGAUGCUAUCCCCGAACUCUACAAGAAGGCGGCUACCCCCUUGACCCCUACCAAUUGAUCACAUAGUUAGAUUCGUAAACACCUCACUAAAGAACUUGAUCCAAGAAUAGAAGACUGAUCAACAGAGUUUCCAUUCACUAUCCUCCAUUGCGUUGCACAACUCGAGGCUCACCACAUGGCUCAUUGUGUUGUACUAACAUCAAAGGUUUUCUCUUCACGCUUUGGUGACUUAUAUUAUUUUAUCUAUUAUUUUUUGUGUAUUUUUCUACCGUUGUCGAACUUAGUUUAAUAGAUUUAUGUCUUUUUGUGAUCAAUCGUCCAUAAUUUUGAAUUUAAAGCUUUACUUAUCGUAGUAGUUGAAAGAUAAUACUCUUGUGCUCGUUCGAGGAAUGGGGGUUGUACCAUCAUUAUUUUCUCUAGAUUUAAAAGUUUGAAUCAAUGAUAUAAUUUGUGGCUUGAUUUAUCCAUCCCUAUAUUGUCCUUACCCACCUGACCCCAAGUGUAUGGUACUUAUCAUGCAUCACCUUCAGGCUUUCAAACCAUCUGUAAUAUGUUAGGCUGCUUCUUAACCCUCAGCUCCAAGAGCUUGAAAGCACUGCAGCGCACUACCCUUACAAUCGUCCCCCGACUUGCUCUGCACUGAAAAACUGCAGCUUUCAUAUCUCCAGGAGGUGAGCCCGAGGGACACAGCCUUGGGCGUGCAUACAUCUAUAAAUAAACUAUCCCCAUGAGGGAUACUAUAUUGAGUCAUUGAUCCCCUUGAGCAUAUGCGCCUUAAUUUCUGAGUCAACAUCCCCCCGGGUAUUCACAUUAAUUUCUGAGCGCCAAUGUAUAUUAAUUUAUUAUAAAUAACCCUAAAAGCGGUCUGCCGCGCAUAUAUAAAUUAUUAUAAUACACUAACAGCGCGCUGGCGCGCAUAUGAAAAAUAUAUAAAUAUAUUUUAUAAUCGCGUGCGCCUGCGCCCGCGUGUGAGCAGUUCCUGAUACAUGACGUGCGUGCCCGCACGCCUCUGCAUGCCCGUGUGCCCGUAUUAGUCAAUCUUAUAAUAAUUAGGCACGAGUUGCAGAGACGGAAGCAAGUUGGCUCGAAACCACGGCGAAAAGAGGUUAGGCGCCUUAUUAUUGGCACACACCAUCGCUCCGAGCUUGAUGAUGAGCGAGAACCGUUGAAGAGUGACGCGCUAAAAAUAUAUGCAGACGCAUGGUGAGAGACGCGGGGACCGAGGAAAUCUCUGUCUCGCACGGCGCCCUGCUGGGUGGUCUGGGCGCAGAACGAGGUCCAAGGCCCGGCGGCGCCGCCCGCCGUCUGCUCGGCCCCAAGGUCCGCCGGCCGCUAGACGGGCUCUGCAGCAAGCACGCGCCGACCAUCAGCCUCUGCUUCGGCUCCAUCGCCGCCUCCGCCGCCUUCGCCGAGGCGGAGGAGCCACCGCCCACCCCCCCCCCCCCCCCCCUCGCCGCGGGCCUCCCGCCGACUUGCCUGCGACUCCGCCGGCGAGCUCAGUCAGCACGGCGGGACCCACCUGGGUUCGGCAAAGGAAAAUACUCCGAUUUUCCCGGGGAAUAAUGUGAUGAAUUUCAUGUGUAUAUGUUUCAUGACUCUGGAAUUUCCGCAAAUUAUUAAAAAAAUAUAUCCUUCACCAUCGAGAUAUUCUCGUCUGCGGUGGUCCUGCUGACGCGCCCACGUCACUUCACCGCCGUCAGAUAUAAAUCAGUGAAUCUGCACCGUCCAAUUCAACUACACCGUAUUUUUAAUCCGUACCGGUCAGUGACUUGGACCAAUGGCCUUCGCACGUCUCCCAUCGCGGACCAUGGAGUAGUUGGCCUUUGACCCGAAGCCAUGCACUUCGAGCGGUGGUCGGCGCUCAGGAGCUUCUAGAAGCCCUUGGACCUUGUUCUAGAAGCCGACACCGACGGUCAUGUAUGCCCUUCCACUCUCUUGACUCCAGUUUGGUGAUCCAUGAGUGAUGGAGAAUCCCGAAAUAGACGCAUUUAUUAUGGUUAUUUAUAGUAAAAUAAAUUUACUAUUUGUUGGUAAUUCCGCUGCUUGUCCCUCCCAACUCGAGCCAACUAAAUGGAUCGGAGUUUGACCCAAUAAUUAGCUGCCCAUUUGAGAAAGACGGCGGAGGGUCAGCCUGAGGUCAACUAUGUGGAGCCACCUGCCUCGUCCGGAAGAGAAAAAAGAGCCCCAUUCUAUUCUCUCGGAAAUAAUAUCCAAAUUUAAUAAUAUAUAUUUUUAAUUUCGUAUUUAUAUUUCAGGAAAAACGGGCCGUUGGGAAUUUCGGUGAAUAAAAAAAAUACUUUCAGUUGGAAGAUUUUCCUCUGCGGUGGGCCAAAUGACAUCUGCGCCGUCCGAUGGGCUCGGUGAAUCUGCACCGUCCAACUCACCUACCCCCACCACAAGACCGAAAAGAUCGCACCGGAGGCGAAGAGAAUGAAAAACCAAUUUAAUGAGAGAAAAUAAUUACUUAAAUUAUUUGUCUCAAUGAAAAAUAAUGAGCCAGGGGUAAUUAUCACUGUUUAUUUUUUAUUAAUUACCGGCGUUUUAGGCAGCUGGAGAGGGGAAAUAAUGACACUCUGCAUGCCUUCCCUGCCGUCAGAUGGGAUCGGGGAAUCCGCGCCGUCCAACUCACCUACUCAACCGCCAGGCCAACGUCCACGUGAGAGCAACCACCGCCCCGGGGCGAAGAAAGUAAAAACCGAUUUAAAUUAUCGAAAUUAAUCAAGUCGCUAUCAAUCGGGCACCGUAAUUAGUUAUAUUUUAUUUUUUAAAAAAAUAAAAUAAAAAAUUGGUGAGAGGCAUGAGCGGCCUUCUUGCGCGUCCCACGUGAGGCCACUUCCCCAGGGUCAGUGGGGGGAAACGGUCGAAUCCUCUUUCGCCCUCCAUGUUUAGUAAUAACUACGGCCAGUGCCAUUCCAACCUCCACCGCACGGGUCUGGGCCUAUUUUAGCAUUAUUUAUUAUUAUACUGAUGGCAAAUAUCCUGCAAAAUUGGGUAAAUUUGCCUGAAAGCAGGACGAAAAUGGGUCAAUUUCCUUAUUAGUGGCGAUGAGCGAGAAGGCUUUGAGAGCGGUGUAAUUUAUAUUAUAUAUAUAGGGGGAGCGAGGAUGGAGUGGCAGGACGGAGAGCAUGGAGGGGAUGGCGCCGUCGUACGCCGUCGCGCUGGUGGUCUUGGUGGGGACCGUCGCCUUCCUGGUGGUGAAGCUCUCCGGGGGAUCGUCCAAGGGGCGGCAGCCGCCGGCGCCGCCGGGGCUGCCCAUCGUCGGGCACCUCCAUCUGCUGGGUCCCAAGGUUCACCUGUCGUUCGACGGGCUCUGCAAGAAGUAUGGGCCGGUGAUCGGGCUCCGCUUCGGCUCCACCCCCGCCGUCAUCGUCUCCAGCAUGGAGGCGGCGGGGGAGUUCUUGAAAAGCCACGAUCUGGUGUUCUCAGACCGCCCGCAGUCGCGGGCGUCGCGCCGGUUCGCCUACGACUCCACGGGGUUCGCGUUCGCGCCCUACGGGGCCUACUGGCGGUUCCUGAAGAAGCUGGCGAUGACGGAGCUGCUCAGCGCGCGGACGGUGGAGCAGCUCCUGCCGGUGCGGCGGCAGGAGCUGGUGGGGCUGUUGGGGCGGCUCCUGCAGGCGGCGGAGAGGCGGGAGGCGGUGGACGUGAGCCACGAGCUGAUCCGGAUGACCAACAACACGGUCGCGCGCAUGGCCACGGGGCGGACCUGCGCGCCGGCGGAGGGGGAGAGCGGAGAGGGCGUCGACCCGGACGAGGCGAUGAAGCUGGUGAAAGAGGUGGCGGAGCUGAUAGGGUCCUUCAACCUGAGCGACCACAUCUGGCUGCUCCGGGGGUGGGACCUCCAAGGGUGCA